rnacentral:RNase_P_RNA from 1 species
AAGCAGGCCAUGAUGGCCGCUCCGACGAGUUUGUAGUCGGAGAGGAAAGUCCGAGCUCCAAAGGAUAGCGCACCCGGGUAAUGCCGGGUCUCUCGGCACUGUUCCCAUGUAAAUGGGGAAGUGCUGAGGGUAGAACAGAGCCACAGUGACGAAGAAGUCCAGUGUAGUCCGCCUUUUGUGCGGUCUGGAUGGAAGUGAAACGCGGCGAUCUCUGCGCGGAGCAAGGCCAAAUAUGAGGAGAGUUCCCGGCGUCAACCAUCAGGGCGGAGGCAUUCGCCCUGACCCUGACGGAAUAUGCCGGGACGCGAGCUGAUCCGGUUCGUCGAUCCUCGGGUAGGCCGCAAGAGUCCGCCGGGCAACUGGCGGAGUCAGUCAGAUGGCCAUCCGUCCCGUUUCGGCGGGAUGAACAGAACUCGGCUUAUAUGGCCUGCAUUAUU